AUUUCCCAGUUGUGCUCUUUUCUCUGAACUGCCCUCCAAAGAUGGCCAUCUGUUUCCUAGCUUUCCUCCCUGACAGUUCUAGUGCAUUCUAUUAAGAUGGAAAGCACAGUUCCAUCAGAGAGCCAGCUUUUCUCUGUGUUCUUUGAGGGUAUUUUAAAAAAAUUUUUUGAGGGGCGGGUGUUUGUUUUUUCUCAUUCAGGAAACAUUUGAGCCAUUGCUUUGGACAUAUCACUGUGCUAGGCUCUAGGAUCCCACGUGGGCCCCAGUCACUUUCCCAGGAUGGAGCUGAUCCCUGGAGGAAAGUCUUCCUUCCCUGCCCCUUAACCCUGAGAUGAAGAGGCUCGACAUUAGUCCAGCCUCGGAUGCUCGGCUCUACCCUGCAUCAGCACAUACGCUGCUUAGUCUCAGCUGUAAGAAAUAUUUAGCUUCUGUAGAUGUUAAAAACCUUCCUGAAGGAACUCCACACUGCAGUGUUUAUACUCCAGAGCACUUUCCUCCAGAGCCUGUGACUUGACAGCCUGGCCUUUCUCCUCUAGAGAUGAGGGAUGCAGGGUCUGUCGGUGGCAGAGGCUGGGUGGCACUGGGACUACAUGGUGCAUGUCCCUUCCUCUUACCCAUGCAUGCUGCCCACCCUAGGCAAUGGCAUAGAAGCAGUAUAUAGAUCAGUAUCCACUCACACACACUUAUACACAUACACACUCGGUGUGCUUGCACACACACACACACACACACAUACACACACACACACACACGAACAAGGAACACCAAAACAGUGUUGAUUGUUGUGUUUAAAGACAUGUUUUUUUUUCACCUGAAGAAUGGACUUAAACUAUGUAUUUAAAAAAAAAUAGCCUCAGUGUUAGAGAUGGUGAAUGUAUCCAGUUUCAGUUACAAAAACAAUUUCCUGAAUUUUAAGCAUUCAGUGAGCUGCCAAUUUUGAUUUUGUGUUGCUUUUUAUCCAAAUGGCUUUCUCUUUUCUUUUACUUUUUUCUUUUUUCUUUGUAAAUUGGAGGAAGUGGGGGGCGGGGAGCAGCAAUAUUGUGUUUGAAAAAUUAUACUCUGUACCUGGCUUUCCUGUGUUAUGUUAACCACUUCAAUGUUUUUAUUCUGCUUUGGUUUUAUAGUGUCUGUGAGGCAUUCGAUGCAACUAUACAGUUAUUUUCUCAUUAAAACUCAACGUGUAUAGUGUUUUUCUUUUUUUUUUUUCUUUUUUCCUUUUUUCUUUCUUUUUUCUUGAUUGAAGGAUUGCUCUUUGUUUUACUGUGAAAGGAGGUUGGGAGAUUGGUUGUCAGUCUCUGAGGGGCAUGCCAGUGGCCUUGAUCCCUGCCUCUGCCUCCCCACGUACUGAACCGACUGAACCGGAAGAAGCAAUAGUAUCUGGCAAAAUAACCCUACGAUGCUAUGUUCAUUGUCCAGCCGCCCUGCGUCAGGACCCACAGAAAUGACGCAGGUGUCUGCUGGUGAAGUAGCUGGACUUCAGAGUGGCCAUUGAGAAAACAGAACGACCCCUUAAGCCAUGCCUCAGGCAUAGCCUGUAGCUGGAGUGCGUGCACAUUCCUGUGUAUGUGAAGGCUGGAGGUCAGCCUCCGUUGUUGAACCUCAGGCGCUAUUUUACGAGGCAGGGUCACUCACUGACUGGAACUGGUUAAGUAGUCGAAGCUGCCCUGGUCCAUCUCACUGCCACUGGGUUCCUGUGUGUAUGCCACCAUGUCAGUCUUUAUUUCUGUGGGUUCUGGGAAUUGAACCCAAGUCCUUAGAGUUGCCCAACAAGCACUUUACCAACUGAGCAAAUUCCCUAGCACUUGGUGCUAAUCCUUCUUAUACUCCCAGCAUGCAUCUGUAUUUGGCUCUCCUUUAGGAAGGACUGUGAAUAGCAGACUUGAAGAAGCAUGGGAGUUCUUCAGAAAGCCUCCUUCCUAUUCCAUAUUCACCUGUCCUUCUCCCUUCUCUUCACCCAGCCCCUGCACUCCCUGAACCCUGUUCACCAGUUUCCUGUGCCUCCCUACCCCUACCUCUUCCUCAUGCUUUUCAGCUGCCCCUCUCCUUUCUCUCGUGGGACUCUUCAGCCUCUUGGUCCCUGCCAGAUCCUUAUAUUCUGAAUAUCUGGGGGUCUCUUGUGGUACCCAGUCACGGAUAGCAUCUCCCCAGCUUUAUGUGUUGAGAGUUCUGAGUUUGUCUGGGAAUGUGGCUGAGUGAUACAGGACUUGCUUACUGUCUUGUUCAGGUUUUACUGCUGUGAACAGACACCAUGACCAAGGCAACUCUCAUAAGGACAACAUUUAAUUGGGACUGACUUAUAGGUUCAGAGGUUCAGUCCAUUAUCGUCAAGGCAGGAGCAUGGCAGCGUCCAGGCAGGCAUGGUACAGGCAGAUCCGAAAGUUCAACAUCUUCAUCUGAAGGCUGCUAGUGGAAGACUGACUUCCAGGCAGCUAGGGUGAGGGCCUUAAACCCCUCAGUGACAAACCUACUCCAAAGGCUACACCUUCUAAUAGUGCCACCCCCUGGGCCAAGCAUAUACAAACCACCACACUUAGUGUGGUAAGGACCUGUUCCAAGUCUCAGCACUGCAAAAACAAACAACAAAAUAAGCCCAUUAAGGCUGUGCCUGGUAUCACUCAGGAGACACAGGCAGGAGGAUUGCCACACGGUCAAGGCAGCCUGGUCAGCAUGUUCCAAGCCAGACAAGGUUAUAUCCAACCUAUUUCAAAAAAGCAACACUACAAAACAAACAAAC
rnacentral:lncRNA from 1 species